CCCUUAGAUGUUCUGGGCCGCACGCGCGCUACGCUGACGGAGGCAGCGAGCAUGUCCUUCGCCGAGAGGUGUGGGGAAUCUUGUGAGUCUCCGUCGUGCUGGGGAUAGAUGGUUGCAAUUGUCGAUCUUGAACGAGGAAUUCCUAGUAAGCGCGAGUCAUCAGCUCGCGCUGAUUACGUCCCUGCCCUUUGUACACACCGCCCGUCGCUACUACCGAUUGAAUCGUUUAGCGAGAAUUUUGGAUCGGAGCCCUGGUGGGCAGCGAUGUCCGCCUGGGAUUUACCGAGAAAUCAUUCCAGCUUGCCGAUUUAGAGGAAGUAAAAGUCGUAACA
rnacentral:rRNA from 1 species